AGAGAACCAUGGAACCCAGUGACUAGUGUUCAGCUCUAUUAGGACGAACCCAGGCACUUAGCCAUGCAGGAACAAUGGCAAGCCUUUAGCCCGAUCGGGAGUGGCAAUGGGCGCCUCGAUGGAUCAGGAGCACAGCGGACACCCUGCCAGAUCUGGAGGGAUGGAAGUCAGCGGUGGGUCUGCGAAAGCGCAAACAGGAGUGGUGGACAGCAAGUGAAAGCUCACCUCGAGCCGUAAGGAACACGGAACAAAAGAGAGUGCAGUUGCAAGAUUUAAUAGAGUGAAGACAGAGCUCCCAUACAAAAAGAGAGGACCCAAAGAGGUCAUCAGUUAGAUGAAUAUGUAUUUGAAAGCUGUUCAUUCAUUGUGGAGAUGUGGGUAGACAGCAGUAAAUAUGCCCCAUGGCACUGAUUAACUCAAAGUGGCUCCAGGCCAAAGAUUUUAUGCUUCAGUGGAGAUAUUUUUGCCAGGUACCAUGUUUACCAGAGAUGUUUCCCAAGAUGGACAACAGACUGACCAUGUUGAUUCAGAACUAAGUACUAAUAAAAAGGAGUUUAAUAAGAAGUCUAAUAGAAAUCAAAUUGUAUUUAUCAACUUUAAUUCUAUUUUAAUGCACGAGUCCUAACAGCCAAACGACUAAUAUGCUGACAUUUCUUAAUUCAUUUUUUCUGACUGUGCUCCCAAAAGGUGUGUGAAAAUGCA
rnacentral:lncRNA from 10 species